UCUCCUCAAAAGGAACUCGAAGGCAACAGU
rnacentral:piRNA from 1 species